AUUGAACGCUGGCGGCAUGCCUUACACAUGCAAGUCGAACGGCAGCACGGGUGCUUGCACCUGGUGGCGAGUGGCGAACGGGUGAGUAAUACAUCGGAACAUGUCCUGUAGUGGGGGAUAGCCCGGCGAAAGCCGGAUUAAUACCGCAUACGAUCUACGGAUGAAAGCGGGGGACCUUCGGGCCUCGCGCUAUAGGGUUGGCCGAUGGCUGAUUAGCUAGUUGGUGGGGUAAAGGCCUACCAAGGCGACGAUCAGUAGCCGGUCUGAGAGGACGACCAGCCACACUGGGACUGAGACACGGCCCAGACUCCUACGGGAGGCAGCAGUGGGGAAUUUUGGACAAUGGGCGAAAGCCUGAUCCAGCAAUGCCGCGUGUGUGAAGAAGGCCUUCGGGUUGUAAAGCACUUUUGUCCGGAAAGAAAUCCUUGGCCCUAAUACGGUCGGGGGAUGACGGUACCGGAAGAAUAAGCACCGGCUAACUACGU
rnacentral:rRNA from 1 species